GGCGGACGGGUGAGUAACACGUGGGAACGUGCCUUUAGGUUCGGAAUAGCUCCUGGAAACGGGUGGUAAUGCCGAAUGUGCCCUUCGGGGGAAAGAUUUAUCGCCUUUAGAGCGGCCCGCGUCUGAUUAGCUAGUUGGUGAGGUAAAGGCUCACCAAGGCUACGAUCAGUAGCUGGUCUGAGAGGAUGACCAGCCACAUUGGGACUGAGACACGGCCCAAACUCCUACGGGAGGCAGCAGUGGGGAAUCUUGCGCAAUGGGCGAAAGCCUGACGCAGCCAUGCCGCGUGAAUGAUGAAGGUCUUAGGAUUGUAAAAUUCUUUCAGUAGGGACGAUAAUGACGGUACCUACAGAAGAAGCCCCGGCUAACUUCGUGCCAGCAGCCGCGGUAAUACGAAGGGGGCUAGCGUUGCUCGGAAUUACUGGGCGUAAAGGGAGCGUAGGCGGACAUUUAAGUCAGGGGUGAAAUCCCAGAGCUCAACUCUGGAACU
rnacentral:rRNA from 1 species